ACGGGAGGCAGCAGUGGGGAAUAUUGCACAAUGGGGGAAACCCUGAUGCAGCGACGCCGCGUGAGUGAAGAAGUAUUUCGGUAUGUAAAGCUCUAUCAGCGGGAAAGAAAAUGACGGUACCUGACUAAGAAGCCCCGGCUAACUACGUGCCAGCAGCCGCGGUAAUACAUAGGGGGCAAGCGUUAUCCGGAUUUACUGGGUGUAAAGGGAGCGUAGACGGUAAGGCAAGUCUGAAGUGAAAUGCCAGGGCUCAACCCUGGAACUGCUUUGGAAACUGUCCUACUAGAGUGCAGGAGAGGUAAGUGGAAUUCCUAGUGUAGCGGUGAAAUGCGUAGAUAUUAGGAGGAACACCAGUGGCGAAGGCGGCUUACUGGACUGUAACUGACGUUGAGGCUCGAAAGCGUGGGGAGCAAACAGGAUUAGAUACCCUGGUA
rnacentral:rRNA from 1 species